GAAGAUGGGUGCCCCCCUUGUGGUCGGUGGUACAGGUGGUGCAUGGCUGUCGUCAGCUCGUGUCGUGAGAUGGUGGGUUAAGUCCCGCAACGAGCGCAACCCCUGUCCUGUGUUGCCAGCAGGCCCUUGUGGUGCUGGGGACUCACAGGAGACCGCCGGGGUCAACUCGGAGGAAGGUGGGGACGACGUCAAGUCAUCAUGCCCCUUAUGUCUUGGGCUGCACACGCGCUACAAUGGCCGGUACAAUGAGCUGCGAUACCGUGAGGUGGAGCGAAUCUCAAAAAGCCGGUCUCAGUUCGGAUUGGGGUCUGCAACUCGACCCCAUGAAGUCGGAGUCGCUAGUAAUCGCAGAUCAGCAGUGCUGCGGUGAAUACGUUCCCGGGCCUUGUACACACCGCCCGUCACGUCACGAAAGUCGGUAACACCCGAAGCCGGUGGCCCAACCCCUUGUGGGAGGGAGUCGUCGAAGGUGGGACUGGCGAUUGGGACGAAGUCGUAACAAGGUAGCCGUAA
rnacentral:rRNA from 1 species